rnacentral:rRNA from 1 species
UACGUAGGUGGCAAGCGUUGUCCGGAUUUACUGGGCGUAAAGAGCGCGCAGGCGGUCGAAUAAGUCGAAUGUGAAAGCCCCCGGCUUAACUGGGGAGGGUCAUUCGAUACUGCUCGACUCGAAGGCAGGAGAGGGUAGUGGAAUUCCCGGUGUAGUGGUGAAAUGCGUAGAUAUCGGGAGGAACACCAGUGGCGAAGGCGACUACCUGGCCUGUUUCUUGACGCUGAGGCGCGAAAGCUAGGGGAGCAAACGGG